rnacentral:lncRNA from 1 species
AGUAUAGUUGACUUAGAAAAUUGUGUUAAUUUCCGGUGUAACAGUAUGUUUGUAGGAAACACCAAAUUGUCUUCCAAAGUGUCUGUACCAUGUUCCAGCGCCCCAGCACGAGUUUCUGUGGCUCCAUGUCCUCACCAGCAUUUGGUGCUGCCAGGGUUCCAGAUUUUGACCAUUCUAAUAGGUGUGGAGUAGUAUCUUUCCAGUGUUUUUGCAUUUCCCUGAUACAUGGUGUGAAACUUCCUUUCAUAUGCGUACUUGCUAUUGAUUUAUCUUCUUUGGGGAGGUGUCUCUUAAUAUCAGGGAUUUUGUUUUGUUUUGACUCAAUGCAUGUAAUCCUGUAUUAUACAUCUCCUGAAGACAGGGUCUAUAUACCAGGUAGUGACGCUAUACAAAUAAUUCCGUCAUAAAUUUCCCUGAGCACAGGAGUGCUGCCUCUGCUGGCCUCAGCUGUGCUGCGUCUUUUUGUUAGAUAAGACCAUUGUAACUCAGGGUACUGCUCCCUCUCUCAUGGGCUGCCGAGAAUGGAGGUCUUCAGAGCAGGGCUACAUGUCCUCCCCAAGGUCCAGAAUAACAAGCUGGAGCAUGGACAUGUCCAUUUAUCAAUUUUCAGGCUCUCAAUUUCCUAAAAUUGAUCUGCCUAAAAAUAUGAUAGUAGUUCUUCUCCUCUUCCUCUUUUCUUCUCAUAACCUUCAUCUCCUCCCAUUUUUCAAAAAGAAAAAACAAAAAAGCAAACAUUUUUUCCUACUCUGAACCUCAGAUUCGUGUUCUCAGGGUAUAAUAACCACUGAGGUUUCAAAUGUAAAGAUGAGUUAAAAAAAAUUUUUUUAAAUGGCCGCACCCAUGGCAUAUGGAAUCUUCCGGGACAGGGAAUCCAAGCCAGAGCUGUAGCCUACGCCACAGCUACAGCAACACCUGAUCCUUUAACCCAUUUCACUAAGCAGAGAAUCAAAACCGUACCUCCACAGUGACUCAAGCCGCUGCAGCUGGAUUCUUAACCCACUGUGCCAUAGUGAGAAUUCCAAGAUGGUUCAAAUUUUACCAGUCAAUUAAGAAAAUACAUGACCUGUUUGAUUAUCAAAAUUUUGUAAUUCAGGUGAUCCCUAAUUCUCUGCUUUGAACAAAACAAAAGAAGGGCAUAAAUUAAUUAUCAGAUGAUCCUUAAAACUAGUUUCUGAUAAUAGAUUGCUAUGUGAUUUUUGGCAUAUGACAUGGAAUCAGGUCAAAGAACUAAAUGACAAUGUUAGAAUAAAACUCCAUUUUAUUACGAUUUAUUAUUCAUAUGAACUAAGCUGGUCAAGACUACAGAUAUAAGGAGUUCCUCUUGUGGCCCAGUGGAAGCAAAUUCAACUAGUAUCCAUGAGGAUGUGGGUUCAAUCCCUGGCCCCGCUCAGUGGGCUGGGGAUCCGGGGCUGCCGUGAGCUAUGGUGUAGGUCACAGAUGCGACUCAAAUCCCACGUCGCUGUGGCUGUGGCGCAGGCCGGCAACUACAAAUCUCAUUCGAUCCCUAUCCUCGGAACUUCCAUAAGCCUCGGGUAUGGCCCUAAAAAGAAAAAAAAAAAAAAAAAAGACUACAGAUAUAAAAUCAAAAAAAAAGGAAUGGAAUUACUACUGAAACUGUUUUACUCUGGUAUUAAGUAGUAUUCAAACAAGAAAUAAAAAAUGUCUCCUCCAUCUCUUUAAAAAAUGCAUUUCUAAUAAAAUUUUGCUUUUUAAAAACACAUGAGGAGUUCCCGUCGUGGCUCAGUGGUUAACGAAUCCGACUAGGAACCAUGAGGUUGUGGAUUCGACCCCUGGCCUUGCUCAGUGGGUUAAGGAUCCGGCGUUGCCGUGAGCUGUGGUGUAGGUUGCAGACAUGGCUCGGAUCCCUAGUUGCUGUGGCUCUGGUGUAGGCCAGCGGCUACAGCUCCGACUGGACCCCUAGCCUGGGAACC